rnacentral:rRNA from 1 species
AGAGUUUGAUCCUGGCUCAGAGCGAACGCUGGCGGCAGGCUUAACACAUGCAAGUCGAGCGGGCGUAGCAAUACGUCAGCGGCAGACGGGUGAGUAACGCGUGGGAACAUACCUUUUGGUUCGGAACAACACAGGGAAACUUGUGCUAAUACCGGAUAAGCCCUUACGGGGAAAGAUUUAUCGCCGAAAGAUUGGCCCGCGUCUGAUUAGCUAGUUGGUGAGGUAACGGCUCACCAAGGCGACGAUCAGUAGCUGGUCUGAGAGGAUGAUCAGCCACAUUGGGACUGAGACACGGCCCAAACUCCUACGGGAGGCAGCAGUGGGGAAUAUUGGACAAUGGGCACAAGCCUGAUCCAGCCAUGCCGCGUGAGUGAUGAAGGCCCUAGGGUUGUAAAGCUCUUUUGUGCGGGAAGAUAAUGACGGUACCGCAAGAAUAAGCCCCGGCUAACUUCGUGCCAGCAGCCGCGGUAAUACGAAGGGGGCUAGCGUUGCUCGGAAUCACUGGGCGUAAAGGGUGCGUAGGCGGGUCUUUAAGUCAGGGGUGAAAUCCUGGAGCUCAACUCCAGAACUGCCUUUGAUACUGAGGGUCUUGAGUUCGGGAGAGGUGAGUGGAACUGCGAGUGUAGAGGUGAAAUUCGUAGAUAUUCGCAAGAACACCAGUGGCGAAGGCGGCUCACUGGCCCGAUACUGACGCUGAGGCACGAAAGCGUGGGGAGCAAACAGGAUUAGAUACCCCCGUAGUCC